rnacentral:lncRNA from 1 species
GCGGCGGUGAGGUGGGGGAUGCAUAUCCUUAAUUCUGUCGACGUAUUUACGUAUAUACUUAUUUUCUUGUGUAGGAUCCUUGAGCUCGUAUUUCUGCAUAUAUUUUUUUUCUCUUGUGUUUCGCAGCGCGUGGAUCACGACGAUACAUACUACUGAAUCCGUACGGAUAACUGGGAGCACAAACGAGCCCAUUUUGAGGAUGCAAAGCAUUAAGCAUGCAUCUCCGCAUUUUAGAAACAAUGUGAAAAUCACAGCUGAACGUAUACAACACGUUUCACAUGUCCACUUAGAAAAAAAAACUCACUCCUAUCCAUAACAAAUGUCGGGGAUUCAGUAUAAUUUUAUACGAAAUCUAUUAUGAAUCGGAGGAAGUAGAAAAUAAAGAAACAAAACAAACAUGGAAAGUCAUGUCCUUUUGUACUGUGUACAAAAUCACAUGACGAUCGAGCUGGCUAGCUAAUUUGUUCAUUGCAGCUUCGUGAGAGCAUAAUCUCAACCCCACCUCAUAUGUCCUCUAGCGGCUUUGGAAGGUGCAUUUUUUCCCCCCACGAUCAACUGAUCUGAUUCCAUAUUAUCAAGAUAGCGGCUUUGGAAGGUGCAUGUUAGUUCAACCACGUACGAUAGCAGAUUGCGUUGGUUGCACCUACAACUAACACGUGCAUAUAUCCAUGGCCAUCACACGACGGCC